AUAAUACUCCAUAGAUUAGAGAAACUGGAAUGUUCUUUAAUCGAAAGUUCCGGCGCCAUAGGAUGGAUCUGCGGCCGAUUAGGUAGUUGUUGGGUAACGGCCCAACAAGCCUGUAAUCGGUACGGGUUGUGGGAGCAAGAGCCCGGAGAUGGAAUCUGAGACACGAUUCCAGGCCCUACGGGGCGCAGCAGGCGCGAAAACUUUACAAUGCAGGAAACUGUGAUAAGGGAACCCCGAGUGCCCGUAUACGCGGGCUGUCCAGGUGUCUAAAACGCAUCUGAAGAAAGGGCCGGGCAAGACCGGUGCCAGCCGCCGCGGUAAUACCGGCGGCUCGAGUGGUGACCACUUUUAUUGGGCUUAAAGCGUUCGUAGCUGGACUCUUAAGUCUCUUGGGAAAUCCCGCGGCUUAACCGUGGGGCGUUUAAGAGAUACUGAGAGUCUAGGAACCGGGAGAGGUAAGAGGUACUUCGGGGGUAGAAGUGAAAUUCUGUAAUCCUCGAGGGACCACCGAUGGCGAAGGCAUCUUACCAGAACGGCUUCGACAGUGAGGAACGAAAGCUGGGGGAGCGAACGGGAUUAGAUACCCCGGUAGUCCCAGCCGUAAACGAUGCGCGUUAGGUGU
rnacentral:rRNA from 1 species